GGUGAACCUUCUAGAAUUUUCUGCAUGAUUUGUGUAAGAUGAAGUGUAUGCUUCCAAGAACAUUUUCACAUUGACAUUUUUGAAGAUUUUAAUUUCUACACUGAAGAGUGAAUUAAUUUUAGUCUCGACAAGAAUAAUUCACUUGCAUAUGAACAUUUCACCUGAUCUCUCUACCCCACUGAUACUUAGUUAAAGCACUACAUGUAUUUUCUCACUGUAGUCCUUCAUAAUAUAAAAGGCUCAUUCUGCUCAAGCAAGAAUUUAACAGAUUCACACCCUCAGGGACUGGUUCUGGUGAUUCAUUCCUGAAUCAUCCAUUUAAUUAUCCCCUCUUUUUUUAAGUGUAUAGUUCACUCACAGAAUAUUUCUCUUGCAUUUCCUUUUCAGGUUAUAACGAACCACUCCAGAGAUCAUGUAAGUGCUUUGCCAAAAACAGGUUCCUUGGAGUAGUCUUGAAGUUUGAAAGGAUUGUGGAUGUCUUUGAAACCAAGUAUAGCUUUUUGUACAGCAAAAUCAUAAUCCUUCUCCCAUUUGAUUACAGAUCUGAGCGUAACUACUGCUCCAAGCCCAACAACCAGCCAUUUCACACUUAAUUUCACCUUGACCAACCUCCAAUAUACUGCAGAUCUGGAUACACCAAAUUCCCGCAGAUUCAUUUCCACAGAGAAAGUUAUCAAACAUUAUGUAAGUCUGGCUCUGGCCUUGCCCAUUUUGAGUUACAGUGAUCUGGUAUGCUUUCAAGUUCUCAAAUUUACUUUAUUACUAUUAUUUUAAAUAGAUUGACCCUCUGUUCAAAAGGAGCAGCAUAAGCUCUGUCUACACUGGAUGUAAAGUGAUGAGAUUUAGGUCUGGGAGACACAGGGGUGACACAGGUGUGGAUGCUGUCUGCAGCUACAAAAACAACGUCAGCAUGGCCAGGUUUGACAGAGAAACAGUUUAUCAUGAGCUGAGCACCAUGACAAAUGGCAUCACCAAACUAGGGCACUACAGCCUAGAGAAGAACAGUCUGCAUGUUAAUGGUUUCCACCUCACAGACACAGCUACCACCAGAAAGCCUGUUUUGAAUAAAGGUCCAGCCACAACAGGAUACAAACUGAGCUUUAGAAUAGUCAAUGAAAACUUAACUAACCCAGACUCUCAGUCUCCAGAAUACAAAGCAGCACUGGAAAGCAUCAGUAAAAAGGUAAGGAGCUGCAGUUCAAAUACCACCAUAUCUGCACUGGUCAA